rnacentral:rRNA from 1 species
UGGGGAAUCUUCCGCAAAGGGCGCAAGCCUGACGGAGCAAUGCCGCGUGAGUGAAGAAGGCCUUCGGGUUGUAAAACUCUGUCCUCAUCCAAGAGAAGGAAAGGUAGUAACUGGCCUUUCCAGGACGGUAGAGGAGGAGGAAGCGCCGGCUAACUAUGUUCCAGCAGCCGCGGAAAAACAUAGGGGGCAAGCGUUGUCCGGAAUCACUGGGCGUAAAGGGCGCGCAGGCGGUCUGUUAAGUCAGAGGGGAAAGGUUAGGGCUCAACCCUGACCGUGCAUCUGAUACUGGCAGACUUGAGUAUGGAAGAGGUAAGUGGAAUUCCUAGUGUAGCGGUGAAAUGCGUAGUUAUUAGGAGGAACACCAGUGGCGAAGGCGACUUACUGGGCCAUAACUGACGCUGAGGCGCGAAAGCGUGGGGAGCAAACAGG